rfam:Cicer arietinum chromosome Ca3, whole genome shotgun sequence.
GAUUACAAAUGCUUGUAUCUCAAAGUUUAAUUAGUGCUACACGAGAAGAUUAGCAUGGCCCCUGCGCAAGAAUGACACGCAUAAAUCGAGAAAUUGUCCAAAUUUUU